rnacentral:rRNA from 1 species
CGCCCAGUCAUAAAAGCCCUGGGGAAUAAGGGGUGGGCAAGUUCUGGUGUCAGCCGCCGCUGUAAAACCAGCCCCUCAAGUGGUCAGGAUGAUUAUUGGGCCUAAAGCAUCCGUAGCCGGCUUUGUUAGUUUUCGGUUAAAUCCAUGUGCUCAACACAUGGGCUGCCGAAAAUACUGCAUGGCUAGGGAGUGGGAGAGGUAGACGGUACUCAGUAGGAAGGGGUAAAAUCCUUUGAUCUAUUGAUGACCACCUGUGGCGAAGGCGGUCUACCAGAACACGUUCGACGGUGAGGGAUGAAAGCUGGGGGAGCAAACCGGAUUAGAUACCCGGGUAGUCCCAGCUGUAAACGAUGCAGACUCGAUGAUGCAUUGGCAUAUAGCCAGUGCAGUGUCGCAGGGAAGCCGUUAAGUCUGCCGCCUGGGAAGUACGUACGCAAGUAUGAAAC